UGAUGUUUGCAUUUGUGGAAGUCAGACGUCAACUUUAUGGUCUUGAUUUACUCUUCCCACCUUGUGCAGGGUGCUGGCUAGUCUUAUGACAACUUGACACAAGCUGAAGUCAUCUUAGAGGAGGGAGCCUUAAUUGAGAGAGUGUGUUCCUAAGGUUGGGCUGUAGGCAAGCCUACAGGGCAUGUUCUUAAUCUGUAAUUGAUUUGAGCUGGUGGUCCUGGCUUCUAUAAGAAGGCAGGCUGAGCAAGCCAUGAAGAGCAAGCCAGUAAACAGCAUCCUCCAUGGCCUCUGCAUCAGCUCCUGCCUCCAGGUUCCUGCCCUGCUUGAGUUCCUGUCCUGACUUCCUUUGAUGAGUAACAGCGAUAUGGAAGUGGUUUGAGAUGUGUGCUCUCAGCUCCUGUUCCUUCUGCCUGCAGCCUGCUACCUCUGCUCUGCUAUUGUGGAUGCUAGCUCUCUAGAACUGGAAACCCAAAAUAAACUCAGAGCAACAGCAAUAGAAAAUCUUUUAAAGAUUUCUGCCGCAAGUUCUAUGAAGCGGAGAUGGAAGAGCUGGACUUUAAGGGUGCUCCAGAGCUGUCCCGACAGCACAUCAACACAGGUUCAGAGGUUCAGUCCAUUAUCAUCAAGGCAGGAGCAUGGCAGCAUCCCGGCAGGCAUGGUGCAGGAGGAGCUGAGAGUUCUACAUCUUCAUCUGAAGGCUGCUAGCAGAAUACUCUGUAGUUUUCAACUGUAAUUGACUCUGUUCCCUAGGAUGGAGUUGGAGCUAUCAGAAGACAUUUCUGAGUAGGGGAAGCAACCAGCAGCUCUGUAAGAUAUGGAGGUCAAGUGUACCACCAAACAUUCCAGCUCUACAGCAGCAGAGAAUGAACACAUCCCGAAUGUCAUGUCAGUGUGCCAAGGGUGAGAAAGCCUGGUAUACACGGCCUACACACACACACACACACACACACACAC